GUAUGAUUAUCUAGCAUCUACUGCUCAAACUCUAAUAGGUUUGUAACCAUAGAAACUUUAUUGAAAUAAUGGGGGAUAAAAAUUCUAAACAGGGAUGAAUGUCAAAGAUUAGGAAUUGCAGGAAGAAGGGCCUGCACUUUCAACUCUUUGGGGGUGAUGCUGUUCAUAGAACAUUCUGUCUUUAGUUAAACAAAUUAGAUGACUUCCGUUUGCCCCCCAGCAGGCUGGUCUCUGUAUUAUAAAAUCACUGCCUAUCACUUAACAUAAUUAGCCACAUUCUGUUAAAAGUCUGCUCAUGCAAAAAAAAAAAAAAAGCUGCAUGGAAGGAUCGUUAAACAAGAUUUUUUAAAAAGUGUAGAUGCAUUGGGCAAUAUCUAGUAUGGACUUUGUGCUGGUGGAAAGCACUCUUUCUCUAAUGUGGCGCACCAGAAAUUUGACAUCUGGAAUUGCCCCCAAUCAGUGUUAGAAACUCAGAUAUAUAAACUGGGUGCCAAAUGGCUCCUUAAACCAAGGCUACAGUUGCCAAAAAGGAAUGUCUAGUUGCCAUAUUGAGGCAAAGACAGCUCUAAAGUCUUAUUUUUCAAAUGAUGGACUGAUUGGGAUUAUCACUUAAGCAUCUGGCUAGUUCAGAUGACAGCCUUGAGCUAGGUUAAGAACUUGUUGUUGUCCGACUCUUCGUGACCCCAUGGGCCAGAGCACACCAAGCACUCCUGUCUUCCACUGCCUCCUCCAGUUUUGUCAAACUCAUGUUAGUAGCUUCGAAAACACUGUCCAGCCAUCUCGUCCUCUGUUGUCCCCUUCUCUUUGCGCCCUCAGUCUUUCCCAACAUCAGGGUCUUUUCUUCUCAUGAGGUGGCCAAAGUAUUGGAGACUCAGCUUCAGGAUCUGUCCUUCCAGUGAGCACUCAGGGCUGAUUUCCUUCAGAAUGGAUAGGUUUGAUCUUCCUGCAGUCCAUGGAACUCUCAGAAGUCUCCUCCAGCACCAUAAUUCAAAAGCAUCAAUUCUUCGGCGAUCAGCCUUCUUUAUGGUCCAGCUCUCACUUCCAUACAUCACUACUGGGAAAACCAUAGCUUUAACUAUACAGACCUUUGUCGGCAAGGUGAUGUCUCUGCUUUUUAAGAUGCUGUCUAGGUUUGUCAUUGCAUUUCUCCCAAGAAGCAGGCAUCUUUUAAUUUCGUGACUGCUGUCACCAUCUGCAGUGAUCAUGGAGCCCAAGAAAGUAAAAUCUCUUACUGCCUCCAUUUCUCGCCCCCUCUAUAUACCAGCCUAUUCCUACCUCUUUUUCUUAAAGGUGACGUGGACCAUUCAUAGUGUAGGAAUAGUCUUCACAACUGUGAGCAUGUCUGUGAACCUACCCUGUGUUUUCCAGGAUGGAGGCCUCGUUUGUGCAGUCUCUUGAAAGCCAAAAGUCAGCCUUAGUAGUGGGGGGUGGGGUGGGGAGAAGAAGCUCCUGUAUCUUUUCAAAAGUAGCUUCCCUCCCUGUUUUCUUUCUUUCAGUGGCAUCACUUGAGGCUUUUGUUUGAGCAUAAGGGAGCCCCGUGGCUGUGGCUGUGAUAUCAGUAAGCAGGUCAAAACGGCAUUUGACUGAGCUCUAUUCACUGAAUACUAGAAGCCAGCUCACUGGCACCCCUCUUCUUGCCUGAAGGAUUAAGAACUGUGGUUCCACUCUUCAGUGCAACCAGGGCUGGAUUAAUAUUGGCAAAUGUAGAGUCUUCUCCCACCUACCCACAUACUUCAUUCCAGGUUCUCUGAAGCUAUUAAUAAUUACAAAUGCUAAAACCAGAGAGGUAUUGGAGAAGAGACACCGAAAGCUCGGAGAAGCCUUUGAAUUGCUGCAUGGUUCUGAUUGUCAGGAGCUAGCUAGUUACUUAUUUACCAUAUUUUCCUUUCUAUAAGACGCCCCCAUGUAUAAGACUCCCCCUAUUUUGGGGGACUCCAAUGUAAGAAAAUUGGGGGGUGUAUGUAUAAGACGCCCCCAAAUUUUUGACAUUAUUUUUUAGGGGGGGACCUAGUCUUAUACACGGGAAAAUACGGUAUUUAAACAAAUCACCCACCGCAUCAUCAAAAAGCAAAGUACUCAGUGUGAGGGCAUUUUGGGUUGUUGUUUCUCCUGUUUCUACAUGGUUCUGCCCGAAAGCUGGAGAAAGAGAACGCAGUUAUCAGCAGC
rnacentral:lncRNA from 1 species